AACGAACGCUGGCGGCAGGCUUAACACAUGCAAGUCGAACGCAUCGCAAGAUGAGUGGCAGACGGGUGAGUAACGCGUGGGAACAUACCCUUUUCUACGGAAUAGCUCUGGGAAACGGGAAUUAAUACCGUAUACGCCCUACGGGGGAAAGAUUUAUCGGGGAAGGAUUGGCCCGCGAUGGAUUAGCUAGUUGGUGGGGUAAAGGCCUACCAAGGAGACGAUACAUAGCUGGUCUGAGAGGAUGAUCAGCCACAUUGGGACUGAGACACGGCCCAAACUCCUACGGGAGGCAGCAGUGGGGAAUAUUGGACAAUGGGCGCAAGCCUGAUCCAGCCAUGCCGCGUGAGUGAUGAAGGCCUUAGGGUUGUAAAGCUCUUUCACCGAUGAAGAUAAUGACGGUAGUCGGAGAAGAAGCCCCGGCUAACUUCGUGCCAGCCGCCGCUGUAACAC
rnacentral:rRNA from 1 species